UCUCCGUAGGUGAACCUGCGGAGGGAUCAUUACAGAGUUCGUGCCCUCACGAGUAGAUCUCCCACCCUGUGUUAUUAUACCCUUGUUGCUUUGGCGGGCCGCCCUCGGCUACCGGCCCCGGCUGGUACGCGCCCGCCAGAGGACCCCAAACUCUGAAUGUUAGUGUCGUCUGAGUACUAUACAAUAGUUAAAACUUUCAACAACGGAUCUCUUGGUUCUG
rnacentral:misc_RNA from 1 species